CCUANGGGCGGCAGCAGUGGGGAAUUUUGGACAAUGGGCGCAAGCCUGAUCCAGCCAUGCCGCGUGAGUGAAGAAGGCCUUCGGGUUGUAAAGCUCUUUCGGUGGGGAAGAAAUUGCUUAGGAUAAUACCUUAAGUAGAUGACGGUACCCGCAUAAGAAGCACCGGCUAACUACGUGCCAGCAGCCGCGGUAAUACGUAGGGUGCGAGCGUUAAUCGGAAUUACUGGGCGUAAAGCGUGCGCAGGCGGUUGUGUAAGUCAGAUGUGAAAUCCCCGGGCUCAACCUGGGAACUGCAUUUGAGACUGCACGGCUAGAGUGUGGCAGAGGGGGGUAGAAUUCCACGUGUAGCAGUGAAAUGCGUAGAGAUGUGGAGGAAUACCGAUGGCGAAGGCAGCCCCCUGGGCCAAUACUGACGCUCAUGCACGAAAGCGUGGGGAGCAAACAGGAUUAGAUACCCUUNUANUC
rnacentral:rRNA from 1 species